rnacentral:lncRNA from 1 species
GUCCAUGCACACAACUGAACAAUUUUAACUGGUUAGCUGGGAAUGGGAAACUCUCACUGGCUUGCUUGAAAAUCUCUGGAGCUCCAUAAAGUCUGUAUCCGUAUGAAAAACAAAGAUAAGCAGGAGAUCUGGUUUGCACAAUCACACCUAUGGAGAAGCACGCAGAGGUUGGGAGAUGGUUAUCACCGACCACGUGUCAACAUCUUCAAAACUCAUCUCGAUCGGUUUCUCUGUGCUUCGCAGUUGCUAAUUGCUUUCACCCCGCACGCGUGGCCCGAUGCACUCUCUGAGUUACUGAACCUGAGGACCUGCUACAGAUGGGAAAGCUGAGGUGCAGAGGGUUUAAGGGCCUCAUUCUUCUUUUGUGACCUACAGCCUCAACGAGAGUUUUUACAGAAAUGGAACACCACGGAACAGCAAAUUUGGGACCCCUGUCACUUGACAAAAGAAAUGUUUGGCUCAGAAUGCUAUUUUUCUUAAAUGUAUCUUUCAGCCACUGUCAUUAAAAUUGUUGAAUAGCUUUAGGAACCUGUUUUGUCAACUACCUUGGGGACAAGUAUGAAAUACUGGGCUGUUAAACGUGCGCCACAGAAAAUGAACUGCGCCGUGCAUGAGCCGCGGGAGGAGCACACCUCGGCUCCUCGUGGACCCUCCCCACUGCUGCAGCAGCUUUAAUUAGCUGGGAUUAGGUAUUCCCAACUCAGGGAGAUGCUCUUCAUAAAUAUUUGUUUGCACUUAAAAGCAGAUUUCUGCAAAGGUUCUGGUGCUGGCAGUUUCCCUGCAGGAGCCAAAGUGGGGAUGCAAUGCCCAGAGGUGCACGAUGUGCGCAGCCCAUGUUGUGCACUGAGGACACUUCAUCAGCCAAGUUUUGGGUUAUUUCUUCAAGUAGGGCAUUGGUGGGGCUGAUUCUUACAUUUUUAGAUAUAUUUAGUAUGUAAAAAAAUGUGUACACCACUGUGCAUUAAACUGAACUGCACAAAUGAAUUUUGUGCCUGAGAGCAAGAAUAUUCAUUGUAUACAUUAAUGCUUCCUCAUUUCUAAUUAUUUAUUUCUAAAUAUGGGUGAAGCUGCCUGUCUCUGGAGGGGGGUAUUGCAAUUGUGUGAGGUUAUGUUUGGAUGGAUAGAAGUGUUUUACUCCCACAAUAUUCCUUUUUAAAUAAAUAUGUAGUGAUAAGCCA